AGUUGUCCUGGGGUAAGCAUGUAGGGCGUGUCGUAGGUAAAUCCGCGGCAUUUAAGCCUGAGAUGUGAUGCCGAGCCGAUUGUGGUGAAGUGGAUGAUCCUAUGCUGCCGAGAAAAGCCUCUAGUGAGUGUUGUGGCGGCCCGUACCCUAAACCGACUCAGGUGGUCAGGUAGAGAAUACCAAGGCGAUCGGGUGAACUGUGGUUAAGGAACUCGGCAAAUUGCCCCCGUAACUUCGGGAGAAGGGGGACCUCUGUUGGUGAUGGGCUUUACGCCUGGAGCUGGUGGGGGUCGCAGUGGCCAGGGGGAAGCGACUGUUUACUAAAAACACAGGUCCGUGCGAAGUCGUAAGACGAUGUAUACGGACUGACGCCUGCCCGGUGCCGGAACGUUAAGGGGACCGCUUAGCUGACGUGAGUUGGCGAAGGUGAGAACUUAAGCGCCGGUAAACGGCGGUGGUAACUAUAACCAUCCUAAGGUAGCGAAAUUCCUUGUCGGGUAAGUUCCGACCUGCACGAAUGGCGUAACGACUUCCCCACUGUCUCAACCGCAGACCCGGCGAAAUUGCACUACGAGUAAAGAUGCUCGUUUCGCGCAGCAGGACGGAAAGACCCCGGGACCUUCACUACAGCUUGACAUUGGCGUUUGGAACGUCUUGUGUAGGAUAGGUGGGAGACUGGGAAGCUGUCACGCUAGUGAUGGUGGAGUCAUUGGUGAAAUACCACUCUGGUCGUUUUGAACGUCUAACUCUGGUCCGUGAUCCGGAUCGGGGACAGUGUCUGGUGGGUAGUUUAACUGGGGCGGUUGCCUCCUAAAGAGUAACGGAGGCGCCCAAAGGUUCCCUCAGCCUGGUUGGCAAUCAGGUGUUGAGUGUAAGUGCACAAGGGAGCUUGACUGUGAGACUGACAGGUCGAGCAGGAGCGAAAGCUGGGACUAGUGAUCCGGCAUCGGCGUGUGGAAGCGGUGUCGCUCAACGGCUAAAAGGUACCCCGGGGAUAACAGGCUGAUCUUCCCCAAGAGUCCAUAUCGACGGGAUGGUUUGGCACCUCGAUGUCGGCUCGUCGCAUCCUGGGGCUGGAGUAGUCCCAAGGGUUGGGCUGUUCGCCCAUUAAAGCGGUACGCGAGCUGGGUCUAGAACGUCGCGAGACAGUUCGGUCCCUAUCCGCUGCGCGCGCAGGAGACUUGAAGGGGGCUGUCCCUAGUACGAGAGGACCGGGACGGACGAACCUCUGGUGUGCCAGUUGUACCGCCAGGUGCACGGCUGGUUGGCUACGUUCGGAAGGGAUAACCGCUGAAAGCAUCUAAGCGGGAAGCUCGCCUUGAGAUGAGGUCUCCCACCACGAGAGUGGGUAAGGCUCCCGGUAGACGACCGGGUUGAUAGGCCGGAGGUGGAAGCACGGUAACGUGUGGAGCUGACCGGUACUAAUAGGCCGAGGACUUGACCAC
rnacentral:rRNA from 1 species